ensembl:lncRNA
GGGUUAGGGUGGUGGUUAAGGGUUAGGGUGGUGGUUAAGGGUUAGGGUGGUAAUUAAGGGUUAGGGUUAGGGUGGUGAUUAAGGGUUAGGGUUGGUGGUUAAGGGUUAUGGUGGUGGUUAAGGGUUAGGGUUAGGGUGGUGGUUAAGGUUUAGGGUGGUGGUUAAGGGUUAGGGUUAGGGUGGUGGUUAAGGGUUAGGGUGGUGGUUAAGGGUUAGGGUGGUGGUUAGGGUUAGGGUUAGGGUGGUGGGUUAGGGUUAGGGUGGUGGUUAAGGGUUAGGGUUAGGGUGGUGGUUAAGGGUUAGGGUUAGGGUGGUGGUUAAGGGUUAGGGUGGUGGUUAAGGGUUAGGGUGGUGGUUA